rnacentral:rRNA from 1 species
CAAUAGCGUAUAUUAAAGUUGUUGCAGUUAAAAAGCUCGUAGUUGGAUUUCUGUUCUCGAGGAUCGGUCCGCCUCACGGUGAGCACUGGUUUUUCUUGGGGACAUCCUCUCGAAGGCGGGUGGUGCACUUAAUUGUGUGCUGCUUGGAUUCGGGACCUUUACUUUGAAAAAUUAGAGUGUUCAAAGCAGGCGUCGGCUUGAAUACAUUAGCAUGGAAUAAUGGAAUAGGACUUUGGUUCUAUUUUGUUGGUUUCUAGGACCGAAGUAAUGAUUAAUAGGGACAGUUGGGGGCAUUCAUAUUCCAUUGUCAGAGGUGAAAUUCUUGGAUUAACGGAAGAUGAACUUCUGCGAAAGCAUCUGCCAAGGAUGUUUUCAUUGAUCAAGAACGAAAGUUAGGGGAUCGAAGACGAUUAGAUACCAU